AUCACAUAUCAUUAAUGCACAUGCAUAUAAUCAUGGCAUUUCACAUCAUCAUACAAGACAGGACUCCACAUCCUAUCCUAGUGGACAUGAUCUUCCUAUUGUGCUUGACCCUCUAUAACAUCUAUGAGCCCGACACUCUAGGUCCGACCAUAUGAACCUAGGGCUCUGAUACCAUUCUGUAACGACCCGGAAAUCGGACCG
rnacentral:lncRNA from 1 species